CGCAUCUUGCGCUCCUUGGUAUUCCGAGGAGCAUGCCUGUUUGAGCGUCAUUAAUUUCUCAACCUUACUAGCUUUUGCGAAGUAAUGGCUUGGAUGUGGGGGUAUCUGCCGGCACUAACAUGUCAGCUCCCCUGAAAUGCAUUAGCGGUGGACACGCAGCUAUCAGUGUGAUAAUUAUCUAUGCUGUUAUGCUUGCGAUCAGUCUGUGCUGCUUCAAACCGUCCGCAAGGACAAGCUUUGACAAUUUUGACCUCAAAUCAGGUAGGACUACCCGCUGAACUUAA
rnacentral:misc_RNA from 1 species